GACAGAGGAUGCAAGCGUUGUCCGGAAUCAUUGGGCGUAAAGCGCGUGUAGGCGGUUCGGUAAGUCCGCUGUGAAAGUCGGGGGCUCAACCCUGGAAUGCCGGUGGAAACUGUCGGGCUAGAGUCCGGAAGAGGCGAGUGGAAUUCCUGGUGUAGCGGUGAAAUGCGCAGAUAUCAGGAGGAACACCAAUGGCGAAGGCAGCUCGCUGGGACGGUACUGACGCUGAGACGCGAAAGCGUGGGGAGCAAACAGG
rnacentral:rRNA from 1 species